GACGAACGCUGGCGGCGUGCUUAACACAUGCAAGUCGAACGGAAAGGCCCUGCUUUUGUGGGGUGCUCGAGUGGCGAACGGGUGAGUAACACGUGAGUAACCUGCCCUUGACUUUGGGAUAACUUCAGGAAACUGGGGCUAAUACCGGAUAGGAGCUCCUGCUGCAUGGUGGGGGUUGGAAAGUUUCGGCGGUUGGGGAUGGACUCGCGGCUUAUCAGCUUGUUGGUGGGGUAGUGGCUUACCAAGGCUUUGACGGGUAGCCGGCCUGAGAGGGUGACCGGCCACAUUGGGACUGAGAGAGGGCCCAGACGCCUACGGGAGGCAGCAGUGGGGAAUAUUGCACAAUGGGCGGAAGCCUGAUGAAGCAACGCCGCGUGCGGGAUGACGGCCUUCGGGUUGUAAACCGCUUUCGCCUGUGACGAAGCGUGAGUGACGGUAAUGGGUAAAGAAGCACCGGCUAACUACGUG
rnacentral:rRNA from 1 species